rnacentral:lncRNA from 1 species
CGUGUGCGCGCACAGAUCUGAAGUGGCCACACCUGGAUUCAGUUAUCGAGUUGAUAUCCUGCUUCGUAGUACAGCUGAUCGAGAUCGCGGAGAUCCGGUGAAGUUGAGCGAGUUGUCGCAGAGUUAUCCUGGAUGUGUUAAUCCAGCUUCGUAGUACAGGCCUCUGGACUCUGAUUUGAGUCAGUUUUAGCAACUCCGAGUAGUUUGACCUGGAGUUAAGCACGUGCACGCCAGACAUAAACAGCCAGCAUCUGUGGAGCCCAGAUUCAAUGAUCAACCAAUGGAAACAGGGAGAAGGAGGGGGCAGCAGCAAGCCAACAGCGAAUUACAGCACGUUUUUAAAAGAAAGUGCAAUACAGCAGCAGCUGCAAAGGAGAGGGAGAGGGCUUGGGAGGAAAUCGCUGCUCGCGUCAAUGCGUAACUUUAAAUCUAGUCUCGUGCAAUCACAAUGACAGACUGUUGCAGGGGAAACUGCUUGCAUGGAGCAAAUUUAUUUAUUUUAUGUAGGUGCAAUCCAGCGGGACAAAAGCGCAUUUGGCAGCAGCUGAAAAUUAAAUAUAAAAACAUUGUGCAAACAGGUGAGACAUCGGCAUUUUCUCAUUUUGAUCAUGUUUUACAUUGUCAAGUAAGUAUUAAGUGGCAGUUUGAUCCCUUAGAAAAUGCUCUUUUCACACUCAGCUCUGUGCAGUUGCAUCUGUGAGGUGUAACUCACAGUAAGUAUGCUGUAUCUUACAAACUGCAAUAGAUGCACAUGGUACUAAAAUACCUGCUUUUAUCAACAUCUAAAUUCUGUACUUAGCUUAGAUGGGAUCAGGAAAAAUUAGGGAAUUUGGUAAACUUCUGAAUUUUAGUGUAGUGUUAGGUAUGGGUAUAAGGUUUUUAAAAAAGGAGGCCGGGGGGGGGCGGCCUCCACGUGGCCUCCCCCGCAAAAAUGUCCAUCCGUCUUCGAAAUGUCCAACAACCCCCCCCCCCCCCCCCCCCAUACCCAAUAGUAACAGAAUCCAUUGAAAAAUCUCUUCUGUCACUUAUUUGGGGUUUCAAACUGAGGUGUUGAAUUUUGGAUUCUGGGCAAACAAACCACUAGGGGGCGCACCCAUAUCAUUUGCGGUGGUUUUUUAAAACCUUAUACACAUACCUAACAGCAUAACAAAAAUCUGAAAAUUGUCACAAAAUGCCUAAUUUUUAACCUUUUAUGACAAGUUUCAUCCUUCUGAAUUCAUGAUUCAUCUCUGCUGAAUUCAUGAUUACUUCAAGGCAAUGGCAGCCAUCUUGGACACCAUCUUGGUUUUUCGAAUUUAAUGUUAUAACCCUAAUGAAAAUAACAGAUAAUGGAAAUGAUAUUUUCAUAUAACCAUAUGCACGUAACUACAAUCGGUGUUACAAAUGUCUCACUCUCCCAAUUCUGUACAAGUAUCUAUAUGCUGUAUCUCAAGAACCGUAAUGGAUACAGAGAUGUACUAGGUACCAAAAUGUCCACAAUACCCAACUUUAUAUUCAACGUCAAUAUAUGUAUGGGGCUUAAAAUCAAGUCAUUUUGAGUUAUAAAGGAAAAACCACAUUUUGGGGCGGACAUCUUGGAUUUUGGGGCCGCCAUCUUGGAAUUUUGCGUGGCUAACGUUAUUUUUGAAAAGAGUGGGGUUUGAAGAGUAUAUGUACCAAAUUUCAUGCUUGUAUAACAAAGUGAACGAUUGUUUCCUUAUCUGCUCAGCUAAUUGGGAAAACGGGGAAAGUCCCCGAACGUCCGGUACUGGACGGGCUGGCGGCCACCAUCCGGGCCAUGGAAAAUAUCAAUCAGCACCCGUUGCGAUGCUGCCGGUGUUCUCUAUCUUGUUUGAGUAAAAUGUUCCUCGUAACGUCCCUCAACACAACUGGACGACAGAUAUCAGGGCCGCCACAACUCCAACCCCAUGAAGCAGCUCACGCAAUGAAUGGUGCCACCGCUGCAGCCUGAGCUGCUCUGCACACGAAGCACUGUGUCCCUGCUAAGCGAGGAGAGCAGAGCUUUGCCCUGCUGGCGGCGCUCUGUGCUGGGGCGCACAGAUGACCACCUCCCUCCAGCUCUGGAGCGUUUAUCAGCAAUAUCGGCUGCCCAGCAACAGUAAGUUUUAAUGACAGACCGAUGACAACCGGCUCUGCCACCAUUAGUGGUGCUGAGCCAGGCUCCGGAGCUGGUGGGAGGCUGCUCGGCCGGCACCAGCCCUCGACGCAGCACUAGCACCGAAAACAGCAACAACAAAUUCUGUGCUUCUGUAUUGUGUUUCCCUGAAUCAUAUGGGGCUUUCAGUGGCAGGCCUGCUGGGGGGACGGGGGUGAAGCAGGCUCUGAAUUCUUGGUUUCAAAGACUGUAGCUGAGCUGCAGUUACAAAUACGGAAGGGAUGGGGACAAGAUAGGAUGUCUCAAGAUGACGAGGAGCAGGGGAGUCAAGGGGUUUGGCUGUGGGGUACAAGCCAAAGUGAGCCAUUCGUGAUGAAGGGAUAGUAUUGGUCAAUUCCCCUACAGUCCUGCAGCUGCUAGACAGAAUGGAUUUUUUUUUUAGUUCUUUUUGCUCUUCAUGUUGUGUGGAUCGGACUAUAUGACCAUAAAAGCCAUAUAAAUGUGUUUAAUAAUAAUUACAAAUGGUAGAUCAUAGCUUUAAGACAGAUGCAUGCGCUAGCAUAUUUGCUAAACUAGCAUACGUGUUUCUGAAUUUCUGCUUUUCUAAACCAUUUCUCUCUGUCUCCCUUUAUUUUUGGAGGCUUGCCAAAGGAACCCCCCCAAGACACUGCUAAAGUUGAUAGAUACCUGCAUCUCAGAUAUGCUGAGAUAUGCCCCUCACAGAGGGAUGCAGGUCAGUGUUUUGAUUUGUUGAAAAACAUGUUCAUUGCCGUACAAUUUGUGAUAAGAUGUGAGCAUAUUUGCAAAUUUUGAUGCACAUUGAGACUUUUUUCUGUCAUUAGGUAUACUUUUUGAGUAGUAGUAACAUUGCACCAUUGAACGCAUCCUUGUCUGCAGUGUAUCACUUGGCGUAUCAAAUUCUUAUUUCUAGAAUUCAUGCAUUGUAGUUUAUUAUGUAGUUCAGAGUAAAGUUGCGUGGGUUUACUCACUUAAUUUAGCAUUUGUAUAGCGCUCAUCAUUUGUAUAGCACUGUUCUCAUCACUAAUGCACAGAUAAAGUAGUUGUGGGACUACACUGCUCUGGUUUCUAACAUUAUGUCAAGAUAAAAUUUUAAUGUUUGAUUUAUUUACCCGCCUAGCAAAAAGGUUGCAACCUCGUGUUUUCAGGUUCUUCUCCCUCAUGAGUUUUCUCUACCUGGGGAAAGAUAUGCCGAUGUUGUCUCUUGUUUUAACCCGGUCAGAUUUCCUUUUUCUUUUCUUUGGUGGUUUUCUUUCAAGCUCAUAGGUCAAAUCCUGUCAAUGGUCUUUGAUUUCAAGGAAAAGGGAAACUAUAUCAAAUGCAGGGAGCUUUUAUCAGCAUAGUUGCUGGCGUCUGCCUCUCCUCCCCACCACCGACAACACAUCAUUAUCACUAGAUUAACUUACUUUUUUGUAUAUACUUUAUUUGGAUAUUAUUGGUUAUUUGCAGUAAUUACUGAAUCAGUAAUGAAUCAUUAACAGUUUUUAAAUACUCUUUUUUUUAUUAUGCAUGUGAAUGAGGCAAGUGGACCCAGACCAGACGGUGAUCCUGCAGUGUCGGAGGGGAGCCGCGUAAUCCUGUCAGAAGAAUCUGACACAUAAAUAGCAGGAGUGGAACUGGAGAAAAGAGGAUCAGGACUCCUCAGAACUUUCACAUCCAGAGAAUUUCAUGUUUGGCCGCUGCUCAGUCACACCAGCGACGCGUCCUCCUUAAGGUGCUUCGCAGAUAUUUGUCUAUGAAAACCAACGCAGGCUGCUAACAGAGCAUCAACCCGCUUCGCCUGUUAUUAAAAAUCUUUCUCUCUCCCUCCUUAAUUUUUUAUUUUUUUUUAAGUGUUUAAAUAAAUGAGUGUUGUGAAACAUUUACAUGGGUUCGUGGUCCAAUUCUAUUUUGAAGUAAUUAAUCAGUGAUCCUCGUGACCAGUGUCAGGAAACUUAAAUCUUGAGAUGAAAGGUGAUGUCAUUUCAAUGUUUAAAUACCGUAACAUAACAUUGAUAGAUUUUUCUUUUCAAUGCAUGUUAUCCACUUCUUAAACUGUAUCAUUCUAACACUGCCAGCUGUGAACAUUUGGGUAUAAUGUUGUAGCAAUGUUUUCAUUUGUGACAUUGUAACAAAGUCAUCACAAAAUAUUCUUAGACUGUUUUUAUAGAACAUUCACCCAGAACAUUCUGGGAACUUAAAGAAAACUUCCACCAAAAAAAUAUAAUUAUAACAUCAGGGUAUAAUGUAGCAAUAUUUUAAUUUGUUACAUUGUAAGAACAUUAUCACAAACCAUUGUUAGGAUGUUUAUAGAGAACAUUCUCCUAGAACAUUCUGGGAACUUUAAACAAAACAUCAUUAAAACAUUACAGUGUAAUAUUCUAGUACUAAUUUCAUUCAACAUUUUAAGAAGGCUAUCACAAAAUGUUGUUAGAAUGUCAUCAGAAAAUGUUCUUCAAGAACAUUCUGGGAACCCAAAGAAAACUCCCCCAUAAAGACAUCAUAAAAACAUGAGGGUAUGAUAUUAGGG